UACGUAGGGCGCAAGCGUUGUCCGGAAUUAUUGGGCGUAAAGAGCUCGUAGGCGGUUUGUCGCGUCUGCUGUGAAAACCUAAGGCUCAACCUUGGGCUUGCAGUGGGUACGGGCAGACUAGAGUGCGGUAGGGGUGACUGGAAUUCCUGGUGUAGCGGUGGAAUGCGCAGAUAUCAGGAGGAACACCGAUGGCGAAGGCAGGUCUCUGGAACGCAACUGACGCUGAGAACGCGAAAAGCGUGGGGAGCAAACAGG
rnacentral:rRNA from 1 species